rnacentral:rRNA from 1 species
UACGUAGGGUGCGAGCAUUGUCCGGAAUUAUUGGGCGUAAAGGGCGCGUAGGCGGUCACGCACGUCCGUUGUGAAAUCGCUCGGCUCAACUGGGCGGGGUCAGCGGAUACGGUGUGGCUGGAGCAAGCUAGGGGGCAAUGGAAUUCCCGGUGUAGUGGUGGAAUGCGUAGAUAUCGGGAGGAACACCAGUGGCGAAGGCGGUUGCCUGGAGCUUUGCUGACGCUGAUGCGCGAAAGCGUGGGGAGCGAUCCGG